AGGUCAUUAGUGUCAGCGGCAGCACACGGGAUUCCAAAUCCUAUAGGUGGGGUUCGAAUCCUCAAUGACCUGC
rnacentral:tRNA from 1 species